rnacentral:rRNA from 1 species
CUGGGUAACCUGCCCAAGAGAUCGGGAUAACACCUGGAAACAGAUGCUAAUACCGGAUAACAACAGAUGAUGCCUAUCAACUGUUUAAAAGAUGGUUCUGCUAUCACUCUUGGAUGGACCUGCGGUGCAUUAGCUAGUUGGUAGGGUAACGGCCUACCAAGGCGAUGAUGCAUAGCCGAGUUGAGAGACUUAUCGGCCACAUUGGGACUGAGACACGGCCCAAACUCCUACGGGAGGCAGCAGGC